AGCAAUGGCAGGUCAGUAGUCUCGGUACUAGUGUAGUAUCAGUUCUUAUCAGUUUGAUAUCUGAUACGGCCUCUAUAUGAGGACUACAUAUUAAAUUGAUUUUUGCUCACAACAAGUGUGCUCACAGCCCCCUAGUGUGUGUGUUCACUAGUGUGUUCGUGGUGUUUCACUUCACGGAUGGGUUAAAUGC
ensembl:snRNA U2 U2 spliceosomal RNA